rnacentral:rRNA from 1 species
AAUGAACGCUGGCGGCAGGCCUAACACAUGCAAGUCGAACGAGGCGCGGACGGGUGAGAAACGUCUGGGAACCUGCUCGAUGGAGGGGGAAAACUACGGGAACCGGUAGCUAAUACCGCAUACCUUCAGAUUUGACCAGAUGGGAUUAGCUAGUAGGUGGGGUAACGGCUCACCUAGGCCACGAUCCCUAGCUGGUCUGAGAGGAUGACCGGCCACACUGGAACUGAGACACGGUCCAGACUCCUACGGGAGGCAGCAGUGGGGAAUAUUGCGCAAUGGGCGAAAGCCUGAUGCAGCCAUGCCGCGUGUGUGAAGAAGGCCUUCGGGUUGUAAAGCACUGUCAGCGGGGAGGCGUUACCCGAAGAAGAAGCACCGGCUAACUCCGUGCCAGCAGCCGCGGUAAUUC